ACACCAAUGGUGAAGCGGUUAUCAUGCUUGCCUUCCACAUCGAGGUAGCAAGCGGCAGGGGUUCGACUCCCCUUUGGUGUA
rfam:Termitomyces sp. J132 unplaced genomic scaffold scaffold1, whole genome shotgun sequence.